rnacentral:rRNA from 1 species
GACAGAGGUGCCGAGCGUUAGGCGGAAUCACUGGGCUUAAAGCGUGUGUAGGCGGAUUGGUAAGUACCUUGUGAAAUCCCACGGCUUAACCGUGGAACUGCUUGGUAUACUGCUUAUCUUGGGCCACUUAGGGGCUACCGGAACAAACGGUGGAGCGGUGAAAUGCGUAGAUAUCAGGAGGAACACCCGUGGCGAAGGCGGCUCUCUGGGACGGUACUGACGCUGAGACGCGAAAGCGUGGGGAGCGAACAGG